AUUGAACGCUGGCGGCAGGCCUAACACAUGCAAGUCGAGCGGAUGAAGGGAGCUUGCUCCUGGAUUCAGCGGCGGACGGGUGAGUAAUGCCUAGGAAUCUGCCUGGUAGUGGGGGAUAACGUCCGGAAACGGGCGCUAAUACCGCAUACGUCCUGAGGGAGAAAGUGGGGGAUCUUCGGACCUCACGCUAUCAGAUGAGCCUAGGUCGGAUUAGCUAGUUGGUGGGGUAAAGGCCUACCAAGGCGACGAUCCGUAACUGGUCUAAGAGGAUGAUCAGUCACACUGGAACUGAGACACGGUCCAGACUCCUACGGGAGGCAGCAGUGGGGAAUAUUGGACAAUGGGCGAAAGCCUGAUCCAGCCAUGCCGCGUGUGUGAAGAAGGUCUUCGGAUUGUAAGGCACUUUAAGUUGGGAGGAAGGGCAGUAAGUUAAUACCUUGCUGUUUUGACGUUACCAACAGAAUAAGCACCGGCUAACUUCGUG
rnacentral:rRNA from 1 species